ACUAUAUACACAUAUUGACUCUAAUAUUACUCUAGAAGAACUUACCCAAUAUUGGGUAGGUUACGCAAAUGAGCAAAGCACAAAGCGAACAUACACUAUUGUAGAGAAUAGUGGUGCAACCUACUGCUGCACUAACAGCACCCCUGAUACCUUUUGGUAUUUACUUUUAAAAAUUCAAAGGACAUGUUCUGUAGCCCCAUGUAGCCAAGCGCAGCUAAGCGGAAAAAGGCCUUGACAGGGGUUAGGAG